UAAGUAAAAGCCAAAGGCACCUAUUUGUUAAUUAGGCCCAUGCUAACUUUUAGCUUACUUAG
rnacentral:tRNA from 1 species